rnacentral:rRNA from 1 species
UACGUAGGGAGCAAGCGUUGUUCGGAUUUACUGGGCGUAAAGGGCGCGUAGGCGGCGCGGUAAGUCACUUGUGAAAUCUCUGAGCUUAACUCAGAACGGCCAAGUGAUACUGCAGUGCUAGAGUGCAGAAGGGGCAAUCGGAAUUCUUGGUGUAGCGGUGAAAUGCGUAGAUAUCAAGAGGAACACCGGUGGCGAAGGCGGAUCUCUGGGCCUUGCCUGACGCUGAGGCGCGAAAGCUAGGGGAGCGAACAGG